CUGGCUCAGGAUGAACGCUAGCGACAGGCUAACACAUGCAAGUCGAGGGGCAGCACGGGAGUAGCAUACUUGGUGGCGACCGGCGCACGGGUGAGUAACGCGUAUGCAACCUACCUAUCAGAGGGGAAUAACCCGGCGAAAGUCGGACUAAUACCGCAUAAAACAGGGGCACCGCAUGGUGAUAUUUGUUAAAGAAAUUCGCUGAUAGAUGGGCAUGCGUUCCAUUAGGUAGUUGGUGAGGUAACGGCUCACCAAGCCGACGAUGGAUAGGGGAACUGAGAGGUUGGUCCCCCACACUGGUACUGAGACACGGACCAGACUCCUACGGGAGGCAGCAGUGAGGAAUAUUGGUCAAUGGGCGGGAGCCUGAACCAGCCAAGUCGCGUGAAGGAAGAAGGAUCUAUGGUUCGUAAACUUCUUUUGCAGGGGAAUAAAGUGCAGGACGUGUCCUGUUUUGUAUGUACCCUGAGAAUAAGGAUCGGCUAACUCCGUGCCAGCCGCAGC
rnacentral:rRNA from 1 species